UACGUAGGCAGCGAGCGUUGUUCGGAGUUACUGGGCGUAAAGGGUGUGUAGGCGGUUGUUUAAGUUUGGUGCGAAAUCUCCCGGCUCAACUGGGAGGGUGCGCCGAAUACUGAAUGACUUGGAGUGUGGGAGAGGUGAGUGGAAUUCCUGGUGUAGCGGUGAAAUGCGUAGAUAUCAGGAGGAACACCGGUGGUGUAGACGGCUCACUGGACCAUAACUGACGCUGAGACACGAAAGCGUGGGUAGCAAACAGG
rnacentral:rRNA from 1 species